rnacentral:rRNA from 1 species
AAUGAACGUUGGCGGCGUGGAUUAGGCAUGCAAGUCGUACGGGUCGGUGUAGCAAUACAACGGCAAGUGGCGAAAGGGAGAGUAACACGUAGAUACCUACCCUCUGGUCGGGGAUACCGCGGCAUAACCGCAAGCAAUACCCGAUAAAAUCUCCGGAUCAAAGGUGUGAUUCCGCCGGAGGAGGGGUCUGCGUUCUAUCAGCUUGUUGGUGAGGUAAUGGCUCACCAAGGCUAAGACGGAUACGGGAUGUGAGAGCAUGCCCCCGCUCACUGGGACUGAGACACUGCCCAGACACCUACGGGUGGCUGCAGUCGAGAAUCUUCGGCAAUGGGCGCAAGCCUGACCGAGCGACGCCGCGUGCGGGAUGAAGGCCUUCGGGUUGUAAACCGCUGUCGAGGGGAAUGAAGUGCAAGUGAGUUAUCUCAUUUGUUUGACAGAUCCCUGGAGGAAGCAUGGGCUAAGUUCGUGCCAGCCGCCGCUGUAACAC